rnacentral:rRNA from 1 species
GAUGAACGCUGGCGGCGUGACUAAUACAUGCAAGUCGAGCGAACGGACGAGAAGCUUGCUUCUCUGAUGUUAGCGGCGGACGGGUGAGUAACACGUGGAUAACCUACCUAUAAGACUGGGAUAACUUCGGGAAACCGGAGCUAAUACCGGAUAAUAUUUUGAACCGCAUGGUUCAAAAGUGAAAGACGGUCUUGCUGUCACUUAUAGAUGGAUCCGCGCUGCAUUAGCUAGUUGGUAAGGUAACGGCUUACCAAGGCAACGAUGCAUAGCCGACCUGAGAGGGUGAUCGGCCACACUGGAACUGAGACACGGUCCAGACUCCUACGGGAGGCAGCAGUAGGGAAUCUUCCGCAAUGGGCGAAAGCCUGACGGAGCAACGCCGCGUGAGUGAUGAAGGUCUUCGGAUCGUAAAACUCUGUUAUUAGGGAAGAACAUAUGUGUAAGUAACUGUGCACAUCUUGACGGUACCUAAUCAGAAAGCCACGGCUAACUACGUG